rnacentral:rRNA from 1 species
UGGGGAAUAUUGCACAAUGGGCGCAAGCCUGAUGCAGCCAUGCCGCGUGUGUGAAGAAGGCCUUCGGGUUGUAAAGCACUUUCAGCGGGGAGGAAGGCGUUAAGGUUAAUAACCUUGGCGAUUCACGUUACCCGCAGAAGAAGCACCGGCUAACUCCGUGCCAGCAGCCGCGGUAAUACGGAGGGUGCAAGCGUUAAUCGGAAUUACUGGGCGUAAAGCGCACGCAGGCGGUUUGUUAAGUCAGAUGUGAAAUCCCCGGGCUCAACCUGGGAACUGCAUCUGAUACUGGCAAGCUUGAGUCUCGUAGAGGGGGGUAGAAUUCCAGGUGUAGCGGUGAAAUGCGUAGAGAUCUGGAGGAAUACCGGUGGCGAAGGCGGCCCCCUGGACGAAGACUGACGCUCAGGUGCGAAAGCGUGGGGAGCAAACAGG